CGCUAAAUAGGUAACUGCUUUUCCACAGGCAGUAGAACUCCUCUGCUCCAGGUUGCCUUCCCCCUCUCCUUGUGGCCAGCCUCUACUGUACUUCACAGACACUCCUUGAAACACCUUCGACCUUUUCCAUGCCUGCCAACAGCCUGCUUUGCCGUUACUCUGCACACUGCCACUUCCUUUUCAAAGCUGGACCACAGGCUGCGCUUCCAACAUGGCCGUCAGCCUCGCAACCCCAGAAGUUUGGAUAUCAAAAGCAAGAGAAGAGGUCCAACGGCAUUGAGUAGAGGCACCAGAGUUGUCCAUAACUAUGUCACACUGAACGGGACAGUCCCUGAAGAUGACAGGUCUCCAGCCACAUUGUAAUAGAGCGAGGAGUGGUAAAGAGUGGUUCAAGACGUCAAGGUGUUGGAACAUUCUCCAAGGUCCUAAGAAAAAGCAUGUUCAUACGGUCUCUUCUGUACCGCCUUCCAGUCAGUAGGAGCCGAUGCAGCCACAGCAGCUCUAAUUACUGACUGUACGACGGCUAGAAAAUAAUCACUUUCUUGCAAAGAAACUUCUCACUUGGCAGAAAGAAAAAUCAAUCCCAGAUUCUGACUGGCCGAGCUCUCCCCAACAUAUAGCAAAGCGCUCUGGACUG
rnacentral:lncRNA from 1 species